CUCGAGUGCCAGGUUACAAAUCUGGCUGUCGAGAUGCCUAAAAAGCAUUUCAUAGCAAGGGCCGGGCAAGACCGGUGCCAGCCGCCGCGGUAACACCGGCGGCUCGAGUGGUAACCGUUAUUAUUGGGUCUAAAGGGUCUGUAGCCGGCCGGAUAAGUCUCUUGAGAAAUCUGGCAGCUUAACUGUCAGGCUUUCAGGAGAUACUGUCUGGCUCGAGGCCGGGAGAGGUGAGAGGUACUUCAGGGGUAGGGGUGAAAUCUUGUAAUCCUUGAAGGACCACCAGUGGCGAAGGCGUCUCACCAGAACGGACCUGACGGCAAGGGACGAAAGCUAGGGGCACGAACCGGAUUAGAUACCCGGGUAGUCCUAGCCGUAAACGAUACUCGCUAGGUGUCGGCCACGGUGCGACCGUUGUCGGUGCCGUAGGGAAGCCGUGAAGCGAG
rnacentral:rRNA from 1 species